UACGUAGGGUGCAAGCGUUAAUCGGAAUUACUGGGCGUAAAGCGUGCGCAGGCGGUUAUGCAAGACAGAGGUGAAAUCCCCGGGCUCAACCUGGGAACUGCCUUUGUGACUGCAUAGCUAGAGGUACGGUAGAGGGGGAUGGAAUUCCGCGUGUAGCAGUGAAAUGCGUAGAUAUGCGGAGGAACACCGAUGGCGAAGGCAAUCCCCUGGACCUGUACUGACGCUCAUGCACGAAAGGCGUGGGGAGCAAACAGG
rnacentral:rRNA from 1 species